ensembl:misc_RNA 7SK 7SK RNA
GGAUGUGAGGGUGAUCUGGCUGCAACAUCUGUCACCCCAUUGAUCACCAGGAUUGAUUCAGCUGAUUGGCAGGCUAGGCAGAUGUCCCCUUCCCUCUUUACCACUCCAUGUGUGACUCUCCUGAAGUGCCCACUGGGUGGAAGAGGAUGACCUUCCUGGAUAGAGGAAGACCAUUCUUUGGUCAAGGGUAUAUGAGUAGCUGUGCUCCCCAGAUAAACUCUCAAGGUCCAUUUGUAAGAGAAUGUAGGGUAGUCAAGCUUACAAGAAGAAGAAGAAGAAGAAGAAGAAGAAGAAGAAGAAGAAGAGAAAAUGACAAUUUAUAUCCAUGGUCUUCCUUC